CCUACGGGAGGCAGCAGUGAGGAAUAUUGGUCAAUGGACGAGAGUCUGAACCAGCCAAGUAGCGUGAAGGAUGACUGCCCUAUGGGUUGUAAACUUCUUUUAUAUGGGAAUAAAAUGUUCCACGUGUGGGAUUUUGUAUGUACCAAAUGAAUAAGGAUCGGCUAACUCCGUGCCAGCAGCCGCGGUAAUACGGAGGAUCCGAGCGUUAGCCGGAUUUAUUGGGUUUAAAGGGAGCGUAGGUGGAUUGUUAAGUCAGUUGUGAAAGUUUGCGGCUCAACCGUAAAAUUGCAGUUGAAACUGGCAGUCUUGAGUACAGUAGAGGUGGGCGGAAUUCGUGGUGUAGCGGUGAAAUGCUUAGAUAUCACGAAGAACUCCGAUUGCGAAGGCAGUUCACUGGACUGCAACUGACACUGAGGCUCGAAAGUGUGGGUAUCAAACAGGAUUAGAUACCCCUGUAGUC
rnacentral:rRNA from 1 species